rnacentral:lncRNA from 1 species
GAGGCGCGCACAGCACAGGCCCUCUCUCAAGGUCACCACCUCCACUCCCGUUGUAUGCUGGGAUUGUAGUCCGGCCGCCCUGUGACUAACGGCUGGAACCGCCUAAGACACCACCCCAGCCAGCAUGGCCGGCAGGAGCGCACCGCGCUGUCUCCCUCCAGGGAUCCGCACCGCCCUACAAUCCUGCUUUGUGCUGAGAUUGUAGUCCUGCAGGCGUACAACUAACAAGCUGGGUGCAGAUAAGAGACUACAGCUCCCCGCAUCCCAAGCAAAGGUCCCUCCUCUACGGAGCCCCUCCACGCGUCCACUGCGGUUCCGCCGUGCCAAGGGGAGCUUGGCUGUUCACGGGCCUCACCUGCUAGCGAGAAGAUAGCUUGGCCGGGCGGCUGAUCUCACCUUGUAAUUCUGACACUGUGUCUCCCGGGCUUGUCGGCUUCAUGACUUGUGCCCAAAGUUUGAUUUCUCGCAGACCAGGAGGACCCAUUGGACCCCCGGGCUGGCUGCAGGGCCCACACCUGGGUUAGACCUCGCACAGGGACGCUGCUGCCACUGUAAUAAAGCGUGCCUACACGCUUCUGAAACUGGUGUAGGAACAACCUCAGUUCUGUGAAAGGCGGACGCAGCAGGACAGAAUCUCCGUGGACAUCUGUCUGGAGGAGCAAUUUUACUGCGACAUUUUAAAGAAACAAAUUUAAUUGAUUUCCAAGACUGGAGUGGGUUCAUAUUUAUCAUGCUGGAAGGAGUGUAGAAAAAUAGAGGAAUGAAGAAGGAAAACAACGCAAGUCAUUCUAUGUACUGUGGAAACAAACUGACAGUGGGUUUAGAAAAAAACAACAGAGGAAGAAGGUCUGAGUAGUCCCAGGUAAUUGGGAAACCGAGAAGGGAAGACCACUCGGGUGAGACCAGGGAGAUCGAAGCCACAGUAAAUCACGAUCACAUCCCUCUGCUGGACCUGAACGGUACUGCCGCCUGCAAGAGCCAUCUGGUCGACCUUAGACAUGACAAGGCGAGAACCAUCUGGUCAACCUUAGACAUGGCACUCUUGUGGCUAAGUCCAACUCUAGUUGCUGAAAUACGUCUCAAAAAAACAAAAACAAUCCAACAGUAAAUGUUUUACAAAAACAAAAAAAUAAACAAUAUUAAAGAACAAUGUAUAAAUAAGUGGGAGUGAACCAAGGUAAAAGGUAAUUAAUAUCACCAUUAAGAUCUCCUCUCUUUCUCUUUUUCUCUCCAUUUGUGAUACCCAGGCUGGAGUGUGACAAAGGAAAAUCUAAAAGGUCAACUUCAUUUACAGGAAAGAGCAUAGGAAAACAGACAAAAGAACAAAGAAGAAAAACAA